rnacentral:rRNA from 1 species
GACGAACGCUGGCGGCGUGCUUAACACAUGCAAGUCGAACGGUAAGGCCCUUUCGGGGUUACACGAGUGGCGAACGGGUGGGUAACACUUGGGUGAUCUUCCCUACCCUUUGUGAUAAGCCUGGUAACCUGGGUCUAAUACCGCUUAUUCCUACUCCAUGCUUGUCGUGUGGUCGAAAGCUGUUGCGGCGUGGGAUGGUUGCGGGGCCUAUGGGCUUGUUGGUUGGUUGAUGGCCUACCAAGCCGACGACGGGUCGCCGGCCUGAGAGGGUGUACGGGCACACGGGGACUGAGAGACGGCGCAGACUCCUACGGGAGGCAGCAGGGGGGAAUAUUGCACAAUGGGAGCAAGCCUGAUGCAGCGACGCCGCGUGGGGAAUGACGGCCUUCGGGUUGUAAACACCUUUCAGCACAGACGAAGCGUAAGUGACGGUAUGUGCAGAAGAAGCACCGGCCAACUACGUG